CCUACGGGAGGCAGCAGUAGGGAAUAUUGCACAAUGGGCGCAAGCCUGAUGCAGCCAUGCCGCGUGUGUGAAGAAGGCCUUCGGGUUGUAAAGCACUUUCAGCGGGGAGGAAGGCGGUGAGGUUAAUAACCUCAUCGAUUGACGUUACCCGCAGAAGAAGCACCGGCUAACUCCGUGCCAGCAGCCGCGGUAAUACGGAGGGUGCAAGCGUUAAUCGGAAUUACUGGGCGUAAAGCGCACGCAGGCGGUCUGUCAAGUCGGAUGUGAAAUCCCCGGGCUCAACCUGGGAACUGCAUUCGAAACUGGCAGGCUAGAGUCUUGUAGAGGGGGGUAGAAUUCCAGGUGUAGCGGUGAAAUGCGUAGAGAUCUGGAGGAAUACCGGUGGCGAAGGCGGCCCCCUGGACAAAGACUACACUCAGGUGCGAAAGCGUGGGGAGCAAACAGGAUUAGAUACCCGUGUAGUC
rnacentral:rRNA from 1 species